UACAGAGGUCCCAAGCGUUGUUCGGAUUCAUUGGGCGUAAAGGGUGCGUAGGCGGCGCGGUAAGUCGGGUGUGAAAUCUCGGGGCUUAACUCCGAAACUGCAUUCGAUACUGCCGUGCUUGAGGACUGGAGAGGAGACUGGAAUUCACGGUGUAGCAGUGAAAUGCGUAGAGAUCGUGAGGAAGACCAGUGGCGAAGGCGGGUCUCUGGACAGUUCCUGACGCUGAGGCACGAAGGCCAGGGGAGCAAACGGG
rnacentral:rRNA from 1 species